AAGCAUAUCAAUAAGCGGAGGAAAAGAAACCAACAGGGAUUGCCCUAGUAACGGCGAGUGAAGCGGCAACAGCUCAAAUUUGAAAUCUGGCGCAAGCCCGAGUUGUAAUUUGUAGAGGAUGCUUCUAGGUAGCGACCGGUCUAAGUUUCUUGGAACAGGACGUCAUAGAGGGUGAGAAUCCCGUAUGUGACCGGCCCGCACCUUCUACGUAGCUCCUUCGACGAGUCGAGUUGUUUGGGAAUGCAGCUCUAAAUGGGAGGUAAAUUUCUUCUAAAGCUAAAUACCGGCCAGAGACCGAUAGCGCACAAGUAGAGUGAUCGAAAGAUGAAAAGCACUUUGGAAAGAGAGUUAAAAAGCACGUGAAAUUGUUGAAAGGGAAGCGCUUACAACCAGACUUCUGGGCGGUGUUCCGCCGGUCUUCUGACCGGUCUACUCGCCGUCCCGAGGCCAACAUCAUCUGGGACCGCUGGAUAAGACCUUAGGAAUGUAGCUUCCCUCGGGAAGUGUUAUAGCCUCUGGUGAUGCAGCGCGUCUCGGGUGAGGUCCGCGCUUCGGCAAGGAUGUUGGCGUAAUGGUUGUCAGCGGCCCGUCUUGAAACACGGACCAAGGAGUCUAACAUCUAUGCGAGUGUUCGGGUGUCAAACCCCUACGCGUAAUGAAAGUGAACGGAGGUGGGAAGGGUAACCUGCACCAUCGACCGAUCCUGAUGUCCUCGGAUGGAUUUGAGUAAGAGCAUAGCUGUUGGGACCCGAAAGAUGGUGAACUAUGCCUGAAUAGGGUGAAGCCAGAGGAAACUCUGGUGGAGGCUCGCAGCGGUUCUGACGUGCAAAUCGAUCGUCAAAUUUGGGUAUAGGGGCGA
rnacentral:rRNA from 1 species